ACAAGCUUUAUGAGGCUCAUGUGUCCUGAUC
rnacentral:piRNA from 1 species